rnacentral:rRNA from 1 species
GAUGAACGCUGGCGGCGUGCCUAAUACAUGCAAGUCGAGCGCAGAGUGCACGGGUGAGUACCACGUGGAUACCCUCCUUUAAGACUGGGGUAACUUCGGGAAACCGGAGCUAACCCGGAUACUUUUCCAUGAUUCCCCGCUGCAUUAGCUAGUGGGUAAGGUAACGGCUUACCAGGGCAACGAUGCAUAGCCGACCUGAGAGGGUGAUCGGCCACACUGGAACUGAGACACGGUCCAGACUCCUACGGGAGGCAGCAGUAGGGAAUCUUCCGCAAUGGGCGAAAGCCUGACGGAGCAAUGCCGCGUGAGUGAUGAAGGUCUUCGGAUCGUAAAACUCUGUUAUUAGGGAAGCGGUACCUAAUCAGAAAGCAACGGCUAACUACGUGCCAGCAGCCGCGGUAAUUC